rnacentral:rRNA from 1 species
CUACGGGUCGCAGCAGUGGGGAAUAUUGCACAAUGGGCGCAAGCCUGAUGCAGCCAUGCCGCGUGUAUGAAGAAGGCCUUCGGGUUGUAAAGUACUUUCAGCGGGGAGGAAGGGAGUAAAGUUAAUACUUUUGCUCAUUGACGUUACCCGCAGAAGAAGCACCGGCUAACUCCGUGCCAGCAGCCGCGGUAAUACGGAGGGUGCAAGCGUUAAUCGGGAUUACUGGGCGUAAAGCGCACGCAGGCGGUUUGUUAAGUCAGAUGUGAAAUCCCCGGGCUCAACCUGGGAACUGCAUCUGAUACUGGCAAGCUUGAGUCUCGGAGAGGGGGGUAGAAUUCCAGGUGUAGCGGUGAAAUGCGUAGAGAUCUGGAGGAAUACCGGUGGCGAAGGCGGCCCCCUGGACGAAGACUGACGCUCAGGUGCGAAAGCGUGGGGAGCAAACAGGAUUAGAUACCCGAGUAGUC